GACGAACGCUGGCGGCGUGCCUAAUACAUGCAAGUAGAACGCUGAAGAGAGGAGCUUGCUCUUCUUGGAUGAGUUGCGAACGGGUGAGUAACGCGUAGGUAACCUGCCUUGUAGCGGGGGAUAACUAUUGGAAACGAUAGCUAAUACCGCAUAACAAUGGAUGACGCAUGUCAUUUAUUUGAAAGGGGCAAUUGCUCCACUACAAGAUGGACCUGCGUUGUAUUAGCUAGUAGGUGAGGUAAUGGCUCACCUAGGCGACGAUACAUAGCCGACCUGAGAGGGUGAUCGGCCACACUGGGACUGAGACACGGCCCAGACUCCUACGGGAGGCAGCAGUAGGGAAUCUUCGGCAAUGGGGGCAACCCUGACCGAGCAACGCCGCGUGAGUGAAGAAGGUUUUCGGAUCGUAAAGUUCUGUUGUAAGUCAAGAACGGGUGUGAGAGUGGAAAGUUCACACUGUGACGGUAGCUUACCAGAAAGGGACGGCUAACUACGUG
rnacentral:rRNA from 1 species